rnacentral:tRNA from 1 species
GCCGGGGUGGCCGAGAGGCUAAGGCGGCCGGCUGCAGACCGGCUUAUUCCCGGGUUCGAGUCCCGGCCCCGGCUCCA